rnacentral:rRNA from 1 species
GUACACGCUGUGACUAGCAUAUCAAUAAGCGGAGGAAAAGAAACUAACAAGGAUUCCCUCAGUAACGGCGAGUGAAGCGGGAAGAGCUCAAAUUUGAAAUCUUGAAAGGUCACCUUUCACGAAUUGUAGUUUAAAGAAGUGUUUUCUGUUACGAUCGUAAUAUAAGUUCUUUGGAAUAGGACAUCACAGAGGGUGAGAAUCCCGUCUAUGAUUGCGAUUUGUAGCUUUGUGAUACACUUUCAAAGAGUCGGGUUGUUUGGGAAUGCAGCCCAAAACGGGAGGUAAAUUUCUUCUAAGGCUAAAUAUUGGCGAGAGACCGAUAGCGAACAAGUACCGUGAGGGAAAGGAUGAAAAGAACUUUGAAAAGAGAGUUAAAUAGUACGUGAAAUUGUCAAAAGGGAAGCGUUUAACACCAGUGUUGUUUUCUGAAAAUCAACCUCUGUUAGCUUUAUGCAUGUUUGUUUAGACCUAAUCAGCUAUCUUUCAUGUUCUAUUGUUUGCAGUGGUGCACUUUUCAGUUUACAGGUCAACAUCAGUUUUUUUUACCGUAAAAAAGUUAAAGAAAGGUAGCUCAUGGCUCCGGUCGUGAGUGUUAUAGUCUUUUUCCUAUGCGGUAGGAGAGACUGAGGUCUGCGGUGUAGGCUAUUUGGCUAGAUACUCAGGUGCUAUGUGAUACCAUUUCAUAAACAACUUGUUGAUUAUGUUUUGUCUAUUGCAUACUCGCUUGUACUAUCAUACCUACGCUUAGGAUGUUGAGUAGCGACAUACGCAC